CGUUAGCGGCGGACGGGUGAGUAACACGUGGGUAACCUACCUAUAAGACUGGGAUAACUUCGGGAAACCGGAGCUAAUACCGGAUAAUAUUUCGAACCGCAUGGUUCGAUAGUGAAAGAUGGUUUUGCUAUCACUUAUAGAUGGACCCGCGCAGUAUUAGCUAGUUGGUAAGGUAACGGCUUACCAAGGCGACGAUACGUAGCCGACCUGAGAGGGUGAUCGGCCACACUGGAACUGAGACACGGUCCAGACUCCUACGGGAGGCAGCAGUG
rnacentral:rRNA from 1 species